AUUGAAUAUCGGGUUUACGGCGCUCGCAAGAGCUUAAUUGGGAAGUUCCGCGCAAGUCGGAUGCGGUCCCGCCGCUGUGACUGGUGACGAAACCGGCAUCACGCCACUGUUCUUUAAAAGAGAAUGGGAAGGCGCCGGGAAUAGGUUGAGCCAGGAGCCAGAAGACCUGCCGUACAGCGUAACCCUCG
rfam:Dehalogenimonas formicexedens strain NSZ-14 chromosome, complete genome.